rnacentral:misc_RNA from 1 species
GAUGAAGAACGCAGCGAAAUGCGAUAAGUAAUGUGAAUUGCAGAAUUCAGUGAAUCAUCGAAUCUUUGAACGCACAUUGCGCCCCUUGGUAUUCCGAGGGGCAUGCCUGUUCGAGCGUCAUUAUAACCCCUCAAGCUCAGCUUGGUGUUGGGGCCUGCUGCACUGGCAGCCCUUAAAAUCAGUGGCGGCGCCAUCUGGCUCUAAGCGUAGUAAUUCUUCUCGCUAUGGAGUCCUGGUGGAUGCUUGCCAUCAACCCCCAAUUUGUCUAUGGUUGACCUCGGAUCAGGUAGGGAUACCCGCUGAACUUAAGCAUAUCAAUAAGCGGAGGA